UAGAAAUCCUCAUGUCCGAUUGCUUCCCCCUUAUUAUCCAAAGCUUCGCUCUCUCUUUCUUUCAAGACAAAUACGUUUAAGUAGCUGCAGUCGCACCUCACAGGUGUUCAGAGAGAAGGGCGACACUGUACCGGAUGCCCUAUGACUAGAACUUCUAAUGACCACACAGAAAGCAAACAAAUAAAAAACGCCAGGCUCAUUUCCCUCAUUUCUUACUUAACAGAAGAGAAGUAAAUGAAAGGAAGAAGAAAUAGAUUUGGUAAUUAAAAAUGUGGCAAGACGAUAAAGCAGAACCGGUGUGAUUUAGCCUUCAGGUGCAGAAAUAUGGAGUCCAAAAGAACGUGGAGUGGACUUCAUUAGAUGCAAUUGUCUUCAUAGUGAAAGUAGCCAGCUAAACCCAAUCUCCGGCAUUUUGGAAGAGACUUCCCGCACCCCCUCCUGUGAGUGCUGCCCUUUUCAGGCAUAUGGUUGUUCCACACCACUAGGUGGAGAAAGAAGGAUUGAGAGCUUCCCACCGUCCUGGUGGGGCUCCAUCCUACGUUAUUUGGCAGAGUAUAAGAAUCUCAAUAAUAACAAUGGUAAGUAUUACUAGCUGCCCUUGUGUUAGUGAAGAGGAACAUUUUUAAUCAUUCAGAAAUUUUCGUGACAUGUAAAGUGCAAUUGUGAGGAAUGUGUGGGUGUACGAAAAUGUAUCUGUCAAGUUCAGAGUCCUCUAGAUUAAAAAGAAAACUUAUAUGAUUAUCAAUGGUGCCGUUAAUAGAUGUGUUGGACAAUGGGUGUACCCCAUUUUUGCAAUUAUUCUCAAAACAAAUCUAUGUUCAGAUGCUUUAAAAUUUUAUCACAUGAUACAAAAAUAUAACUUUGUCAGCCUUUAAAAGUUCUUUCUUUCUUUUACUUAUUUUUUUUCCUUCAAAAAUCAAUGAAGACUUGAUUUCUGUCACUCAUUGUAUUGAGGGUGAAUAUACUACCUGAAUUUUGUGCAUGUUACAUUGUAGUUGUAACCUUUUCUAAUUCAGGAUGAAUACAAGAUGGUUGUGAUUGUGCAGUGUAUCAAUAAAGUUUGAAGAAAUUUGUAACUUU
rnacentral:lncRNA from 1 species